CAGCAGUAGCCGCGGGAAUACAGAGGGUGCGAGCGUUAAUCGGAUUUACUGGGCGUAAAGCGUGCGUAGGCGGCUUUUUAAGUCGGAUGUGAAAUCCCUGAGCUUAACUUAGGAAUUGCAUUCGAUACUGGGAAGCUAGAGUAUGGGAGAGGAUGGUAGAAUUCCAGGUGUAGCGGUGAAAUGCGUAGAGAUCUGGAGGAAUACCGAUGGCGAAGGCAGCCAUCUGGCCUAAUACUGACGCUGAGGUACGAAAGCAUGGGGAGCAAACAGGAUUAGAUACCCCGGUAGUCCCUGUCUCUUAUAC
rnacentral:rRNA from 1 species